rnacentral:rRNA from 3 species
GGACUACCGGGGUAUCUAAUCCCGUUCGCUCCCCUGGCUUUCGCGUCUCAGCGUCAGCAGACGUCCAGGACCUCGCUUUCGCCACGGGCGUUCCUUCCGAUCUCAACGCAUUUCACCGCUCCACCGGAAGUUCCAGGUCCCCCUACGUCCCUCCAGGGCGGUCGUAUCGGCGCCCGUUCCCCGGUUGAGCCGGGGGCUUUCAGCGACCGACGUGCCGUCCCGCCUACACGCGCUUUAAGCCCAGUGAUUCCGAAUAACGUUCGCACGGUUCGUCUUACCGCGGCGGCUGGCAC